CUGUCUGUUAAAGGUAGCAGGUUGUACAUGGCGAGCGGGUUACUCACUGAGGACUGGUGAUUGGUGUAAUGGAAGCCGUCUCUGAACCGCAUUUAAUGACGGAGAAUUACAGAAUUGGAGAGAAAACGCAGCACUGAGCAACUUGUAGACUUAACACCCGACUGUAGAAUCCCUUCUAUUGUGUGCUGGAAGAUCGCUGGACUUGAAGCAACUCCAAAUGGUGGCCUGUUUGUCCAAAGCCCAGGCUGACCCCCCACCCCUUCAACCUUUGCAGCAAUGCUGGCAGCACUAUUUCCCAAAGACAACCUCUGGAUAUGACGCUGAGCACGUGCAAUCAACUUCUUCUUUGGUCGACCAUGGCGAGGCCUGUUCUGAGUGGAACCUGUCCUGUUAAACCGCUGUAUGGUCUUGGCCACCGUGCUGCAGCUCAGUGUCAGGGUCUUGGUAAUCUUCUUAAAGCCUAGGCCAUUUUUAUGUAGAGCAAGAAUUCUUUUUUUUCACAUCCUCAGAGAGUUCUUUGCCUUGAGGUGCCAUGUCGAACUUCCAGUGACCAGUAUGAGGGAGUGUGAGAGUGAUGACACCAAAUUUUACACACCUGCUCCCCAUUCACACCUGAGACCUUGUAACACUAACAAGUCACAUGACACCGGGGAGGGAAAAUGGCUAAUUGGGCCCGAUUUGGACAUUUUUACUUGGGGGUGUACUCACUUUUGUUGCCAGCGGUUUAGACAUUGUGUGUUGAGUUAUUUUGAGGGGACAGCAAAUUUACACUGCUACACAAGCUGUACACUCACUACUUUACACUGUAGCAAAGUGUCAUUUCUUCAGUGUUGUCACAUGAAAAGAUAUCAUCAAAUAUUUACAAAAAUGUGAGGGGAGUUCUCACUUUAUUGUGAAGUACUGUACAUCUUUUUAUUUACUUUAAUAUUUAUUCAUAGUGUGUGUGUGUUUGUUUUUAUAUAUAUAAAAUAGAUAGAGCGAGCGAGCAACGGUAGCGUGUCUGACUCCAGAUCAGAAGGUUGCGUGUUCAAAUCACGUCGGGGUCAUUCAAUGCACUGGAGUGAGAUCUACCAUUUGAUCUUGAAAAUCUCCCUUAAUGUCCAGGGAAGGGAAACCAGGCAGGUUAUCCCUUUAAAGGGCUCGUGCCUUGUCCUCUGAAAGAGCUCUUGCCCAGAUGUCAGACACUAGUCGCAACAGUCACAGCCCACCACCUGUCUCCGAGUUCCAAUGCGUCUUGAUCGCCACGCCGAUGAACAAGUAUGCCUUGCACCAUGAUGCGCUGUAGGCUUCGAGCUGGGACCUCGUGGCGCAACGGAAGUGCGUCUGACUCCAGAUCAGGAGGUUCAAAUCACGUCGGGGUCAUUCAAUGUGCUCUUUUUCACACAGACCCAUGAUUUUCUGCGCAGUCUAAUAAGGAUGCUGUUAUAUGGACUCCAAUCUCUAUGAUGACCACCCAUGUCUUUGUCAACUUCAUGCUAAAAGGUAACAAAGCUUAGGUAGCAACACUCUCACCUAGUAACCAUUAGUAACUUGACAACCUGCUGAAUGUUUACCCUUAGUUUGCCCAUUUUGCUUGCUGAACAAAACAUGCUGGAAAGAGGUACCUUAGAUGGUUUCACUGGACCUCUCAGAGGAU